rfam:Candidate division WWE3 bacterium RIFCSPLOWO2_01_FTLL_41_18 rifcsplowo2_01_scaffold_115, whole genome shotgun sequence.
UCUUUUGAGAAUUUGAUCCUGGUUCAGGAUGAACGCUGGCGGUGUGCUUAAGGUAUGCAAGUCGAGCGGUUCUUUGAAGCCCGCAAGGGCAGCGAAGGAUAGCGGCGAACGGCUUAGUAACACGUAGGAACCUACCCUAAAGUAGAAGAUAACAGACCGAAAGGUCUGCUAAUACUCUAUGUGAUCGCAAGAUCAAACCCCGCGAAGCUUUAGCGGAGUGGGGGCUUUAGGAGGGGCCUGCGGCCUAUCAGCUUGUUGGUGGGGUAAAAGCCUACCAAGGCUAUGACGGGUACCCGGACUGAGAGGUCGGUCGGGAAGAGGGGAACUGAGAUACGGUCCUCACUCCUACGGGAGGCAGCAAUCGGGAAUCUUGCGCAAUGGACGAAAGUCUGACGCAGCGACACCGCGUGAAGGAUGAAGGCCUUCGGGUUGUAAACUUCUGUAAAAAGCACCGGCUAACUACGUGCCAGCAGCAGCGGUCAUACGUAGGGUGCAAGCGUUAUCCGGAUUUAUUGGGCGUAAAGAGUUAUGUAGGCUGCUGGGUAAGUCUUUUGUUAAAUCCCACCGCUCAACGGUGGACUGGCAAAGGAUACUGCCCGGCUAGAGAUGGCUAGGGGCAAGCGGAACCUGUUGAGGAGCAGUAAAAUGCGUUGAUACAACAGGGAACACCAAAGGGGUAGCCAGCUUGCUGGGGCCUUUCUGACGCUGAGAUACGAAAGCGAGAGGAGCGAAACGGAUUAGAUAAAUCCGUGUCAGCUUUCUUUAUAAACGUGCGAGUUUAUGAAGUUCUUCAAGUAAAAGUUGAUAAAUGGUGUCCCUUCCAAUGGCGACAUUGGAAUGAGCAUCCGGCUGUAUCGGGGAAGUCCGUUGAAAAAACGGAUAAUCCCGAGGGAAGUCUGCGGUUCUUCCAUCAGUAUGCAAUGGAGGAAGCGUCUGACCCCGUAGAGACUAUGGAGCUUCGGGCGACUGUUGGUAUAUAAUGCAACUUAUGUUGCAAUUACCUUUGUCAGAAGAAUGCAUACAGGUUAUAUUAGGAUCAAUUUUAGGAGAUGGUUCCCUGACGGUGAAUAGAGGUUACGCGAAUGCCCGACUUUCGUUCAGGCAUUCCGUGACACAACAAGAAUACUUCUACUGGAAAGUUGAAAAACUGAAAGAAAUUUCAAGCGAUAAAUGUGUGUUUAGGCAAGGCAGCAUAUAUAAGAAAGAUGGGUUUGGUGAAAUUAAAUUAAGAUUUCAGAGUUUGGCGCUUGAAAGUUUGACAUAUCUUCAUAAAUUCACCUCAAAAAGAUCUAAGAAGGUUAUUAAAAGGAGAUGGUUAAAUCUUCUUAACCCGCUUGGUCUUCUUGUUUGGUGGUUGGAUGAUGGUUCUCUGGUUUCAAAUUCCAGAGAAGGGGUUUUCUGUACUGACAGCUUCUCUAAAAAGGAGGUUGACAUACUUAUAAAAUAUCUAAAAAUCGUCUGGGGAAUUAACACUAAAAUUGGUUCAAUGAGAAAAGGAAAGUCUACUUAUCUAAGGAUUUAUAUUAAUUCCACGGAAGAGCUUAAAAAGUUUCUAAGGCUUAUUCUUCCGCACAUGAAAGUAGAGCAGAUGCUUCCAAAAUUUCUCAUCCUGUAUAAAAUCCCCGAGCUUCAAGAACGCUGGAUCUCUGAAGUCGUAAACUUGACUACUUUUAAAAGAGAGGUGAUUGAAAAGUACCUUUCGGAAAAAAAGUCAAGGUAUAAAAGAUUCAGAGGAUGAUAUAGUCCGAUCCUUCCGGUAACGGAAGAAAAUUAUUUACACGGAGACCCGUGUAGUUCUCGCUGUAAACUAUGCCUGCUAGAUACCUGUCCUGCAGUGUGCACAACUAGGUUGUGCCUAUUGCAGGGUGGGUGUCGAAGCUAACGCGUUAAGCAGGCCGCCUGGGAAGUACGGCCGCAAGGCUAAAACUCAAAGGAAUUGGCGGGGUCCCGCACAAGCGGUGGAACAUGCUCUUCAAUUGGUUGAUAACCCAAGAACCUCACCCAGGCUUGACAUGCAGAUGCAAGUCCGUUGAAAGACGGAUGAUCCUUCGAGGGUUCUGCACAGGUGUUGCAUGGCUGUUGUCAGCUCGUACUGUGAAGCGUACGGUUAAGUCCGUCAACGAGCGCAACCCCUAUCGUUAGUUGUAUCACUCUAGCGAAACUGCCGCAGUAAUGCGGAGGAAGGUGGGGAUGAUUUCAAGUCGGUAUUGCCCUUAUGCCUGGGGCUAGAAGCAUGUUACAAUGGCGCGUACAGAGAGACGCAACCACGCGAGUGGAAGCAAAUCUCUUAAAGCGCGUCUCAGUUCGGAUUGGAGUCUGAAACCCGACUCCAUGAAGAUGGAAUCGCUAGUAAUCGCCGGUCAGCUACACGGCGGUGAAUACGUUCUCGGGACUUGCACACACUGCCCGUCACGUCAGGGGAGUCAGGGUCACCCGAAGUCCAGGGUUUCUUGGCCCAAGGUGAAAUUGAUGACCAAGAUGAAGUCGAAACAAGGUAGCCCUAGGGGAAUCUGGGGCUGGAUCACCUCCUUU